rnacentral:rRNA from 1 species
UACGUAGGGUGCAAGCGUUGUCCGGAAUUAUUGGGCGUAAAGAGCUCGUAGGCGGUCUGUCGCGUCGGCUGUGAAAUCCCGGAGCUCAACUCCGGGUCUGCAGUCGAUACGGGCAAACUGGAGUACUGCAGGGGAGACUGGAAUUCCUGGUGUAGCGGUGAAAUGCGCAGAUAUCAGGAAGAACACCCGUGGCUAAGGCGGUUCUCUAGUACGGUACUGACGCUGAGACGCGAAAGCGUGGGGAGCGAACAGG